CUCUCUCUUUUUUUUUUAUAUAAUUUUAGUUUUAUUUUUAUUUGAGUUAAUGACCACACAGACGCAUUUUGGAGAUGGGGGAUCAUAUAUACAACAUACUGUACCUCACUGAAAUGAAAAACUAUUCUAUCCCUUAACCUGUUAGAUGUAGCCAAGAUGAUUUUUGCUGUCUUAGAUACUUGCAAUUAGUUUAUAGCUAGAUUAGUUUAGCUGAAAGUUAAGUAGUUUGCAACCUCAAAAUUAAUGAACUGUACUUCUGCUCUUGGAUGAGGCAGUAAUCUGUGUUUGUUUCACUCGCGCUCUCAAGAGCCUUCUCAGAAAAACAGGGAGGACAAACAGUGUGAAUAAACAUGAGUAAGUGUGAAAUAUGGCAGAAUUUUCAUAAGAAUGGGUUUGAGGAAUAUUUUUAAUUAUGUUUUAAGAGAUUAUGUCAAUUUAGAGUAGCCGUUAGAUUUAGGUAUAUUAGAAACUAAAAUGUUUUCAUUAAGCCUGAUAAAAGGGCAUGUUUACAAUGAGUUAACCUGUUAGAGCUUAGACAUGAAAGCUCUUAAGAGGAGACAGACUAUCAAGUAUUUUCUCAGCUUUGACAGAAACAUGAAACAGAUAAACAGGGUAAGCUGGCAAAAAUCAAAUUAGUUCCUUUAAUUUCUCAUCCUGCCAACUAUCAGGAAGAUGAUGUUUUAGUACUAGCAUAUGAAAGAACAAAAAAUGCAUAAAUAUUUUAAUUUUUAGAAUGUCUCUUUAAUGUUGUGUAUUUCUUUUUGCUUGGCUUUUGGCCAAGUUAGCCAAUUAAGAAGGCCUUUGGAAAUAUAUUUUCAAGUACAGAUCUAAAGUAAUGACAGUAAUAUGAGUGAUUUCUAUCAUAUUCUGGUUCAAACUUCCCUUUCUUAUAUUUUCUUCUAGAGACUGUUAAAGAUAAACAUGCCUAUACAAUCUGGCAAAGUGUAUCAGAAGAAGGUUAUAUAGAAUGCUCUUCAGGCCUUCUGGUGAGCCUGGUUUCUCAGGAAGAGUAUGUGUGUGUUUAUGUAUAUAUUUAUGUAUGCACAUAAAUAUACAUUGUAUGUUUGUAUGUAUGCAUAUGUAUGUAUACAAGUGGCAUAAGUGGUGUCUAAGGCCAAUAAUAAUCAUGAUUCUGUCCUUCUAUUCAUUAAUGUUACUGUAACUCAUGCAUGAAAGAUUGUUAUACGUCCUCAUGCCUAAAUGUGGUAUAUCACUGAAUUUUUAAAACCUAAUAUUCUAAAAGUAGUGACAUAGCCAAACUCUUUGGUUUAUUUAAUCCAAUGUCCUGCCUCUGACUGUACCAGAUGCUUCAGGGGAAGGUGCAAUAAUUUCUUCUGGAAUACUCAUUAUUUUUAGAUGUUAUUGGUUCUGUCAUAUCUAAUAUGAUAACUGAUGUCUCCUUAUAUCUAUGAGAGGCUAAUACAGAAUUAUGAGACAUAGAUAUUUCUUGAAGUAGAAAUUCUAAAAUCAAACCCCAUUUUAAGAUUUGAAUUAGCUGCUCAGAUGUCAUUCUCAUCUCCUGGUCUUGUAUGUUAGAAAGGUAUAAAAAACAGUGAUCCCAAGUUUUCUUUUGUAUGUCAGUGCUUACAUUCUCUAUGUAGAAAUUUACAUAUUGGUUUACAUUUGGCUUAUUUUUUCUUAAGCCAAACAAUCAGUCACAUUCUUGUAUAGGUUCAUAUUCUUUGCCCUUUUCUGAAUCCCUUCUGUUUUUGCUACACUGUUCUUUUACUCAGGUAAACAGAGCUGUGAAUAUUAGUCCAAGUGAAAGCAUGCAUUGGUGUACCUAGCACAGCACCUUUUCCUUUUUAUAUUCUUAGUCAUCUGAAACAUCAUAGAUCUCCAUAUCCUUUGUAAAACUCAAAGUAGCAAGUCUUUUCUUUCUGUCUUCUCUUCCCCAUCAUAUAGAUGAAACUCAACUGUUUAUCUGGGAAAUGGUUAGCACAGCUGUUAAAACAUACCUCUAGCUUGGAGAAGGGAGUCUGACUUAGUUAUUCAAUUAGUUAAUACCUCUUUGUGUACCUAAAGUUCCAGUUAAUUUUCAAGUCCAUUUAUUUUUUCCUUUUGGAUUUCUGUUAUUCUGCCUUAGUGCAGUAUCUUGUUAUUCAUAGAUGCCUGUUCAUCACACAGUAUAAAGGAAUUACAAAAUUGGCUGCUCUAAAUGGGAAAUCCACAAGGAUUUUCCACAAGAAAAAAUCCACAAUAACUUAAUUUCUUUCUUGGCAACAUGAAUACUGUACUCAGCCCAAAGCUUAAAGAUGGUUCAGCCUCAACGAAUAUCGAGACAAAAAUACAUUUUGUAAGUGCUUAAAUUUCCCCAGAAAAUUUACAGUCAGUAAGCAAGGGAAAUAUUUCAAAAAAGAAAUAGGCUUAGAGUAAAAAAUAUGUUCUGUAAGUGUAUGAUAGACACAAAAGGUCUUCAACUUUUUCUCGACAAGAUUGAAAUAUCUUAUAGGAAAGGUUUGAAAUUAAGCUUUAUACAUUUUUCUGUAGUUGAUGAAAGAAGAGGAGGCAUAUCAGAUACAUGAAAUUGUCAGGUAACUGUGGGCUAUUUUGUAUCCAGGCAGAAAGUUUGCUACCUUGUUAGCAUCCUUAGUCUUCAUUAGUCUUGUCAUUCAUCAUUAGUCUUGUCUACUGUGAGGUUGGAUUUGCUUUUAUCUCUUACUCACACUGUUUGAGGGCGCUAAACCACAUUACCCAAGGUGCUUCAGUAUGACAUACUUAUAGAGCAAUAGCUUGCCAAGUAGGUGCCUGAAAGUAUUCUGGAGGGCUAGUGUUUGUAAUAGAGGCUCUAAUACUGUGCCUCAAUAUUAGUAUGGAAGCUUCCAGUACUUUUUCUUUUUGAGCAAGGUAAAUAGCCAUUCUGGACUAUCAUUCUAUGUUGUUCUGUGCUUAGCAUCAUUACUUAGCACUGUAUAAAAUGAAUGUAAAACAUUUUGUACAGAAAACAAUAGCAUUUUGCUGUUGCUUGUGUAGACAAUGACAUAAAUUUAAGGCAGCAGGAAAGCAUGCCCUGUCCUUUAGAAAGAAGGAAAGAUAUUCCAAAAUGUUGCUGAACAACUGUCUAAACACUUAGAAAAUGCAACCAUUUUAUGAAGGUGAUCUUGGUGGGAAUACCCUUAAAGCUUCUCAGAAAGGUAUCAGUGAUUCUUUCAGAUGUGUGUGGGAAUGGAGGUUGUUUCUGUAUGUGUGAAAGUGGCUCUUCUGUGAUGUGAAGUGUAGGUUUAAUGGUUUUUCAGACUUUCAUUCAGAACUAUAACCAAAGCAAUAAAAGGUAUCAGGUAGGGAAUACUGGCCAGUUUUGUUCAACUCUACACCAUGUCAGUGCUGAAUCCAUGUUCAGUUACCUAUGGACCCAAUGCAGAGACUUCACAGAAGAGAGACUGGGGUGAAACCUGAAUGCUUGUGUGUUUAUGAAGAGCACUAACAAAAGAGUAAUUGACUCAGUUGGUGUUCAGAUACUCUCACACUGGCAUUCCUCUGUGCACCUUGGUGUCUCUGUGCUUGAAAGGAGGGGAGUCUCCUUAAGGGCUAAAGAAACAACAUUUCUGGGGUGUAGAUGCCCGUGUGUACUGAUUGUGUGUGUCAUUGUUUAAAUGUCAAAAAUACACUUUAUAGGAGAACCAGCAAAAUUUUGUUACAGUAUGGUGCUCCAUGAAAUAUGCUUUCUUGAUUUCUUUUAUUUUUUCUCAUAUUAUAAUAAACUAUAAACAAAAA
rnacentral:lncRNA from 1 species